AUUGCCCCAGUAAUGGCGAAUGAAGCGGCAAGAGCCCAAAUUUGAAAUCGGGCAACCGAGUUGUAAUUUGGAGACGGGACACUAGAGAGGAGGAAGGCGAUUAAGUGCCUUGGAACAGGCUGCCGUAGAGGGUGAGAGCCCCGUGAAUCGCUGGAGACCGAUCAAUUAGUGCCCGCCGAAGAGUCGAGUUGUUUGGGAAUGCAGCUCUAAGUGGGUGGUAUAUUCCAUCUAAGGCUAAAUAUUAGCGAGAGACCGAUAGCAAACAAGUACAGUGAUGGAAAGAUGAAAAGAACUUUGGAAAGAGAGUGAAAUAGUACGUGAAAUUGUUGAAAGGGAAGGGUAUUUGAUCCGACAUGGUGUUUAGCAGCGGCCCGUUCCUCGUGGAUGGGUGCACCUGGUUUACACUGGGCCAGCAUCGGUUCUGGGAGCCAUAUACGGGGUUCGUGAAUGUGGCCCUUCGAUUCUGUCGGAGGGUGUUAUAGCGCGGACAUCUUGUGGCUAGCCGGGACCGGGGACUGCGGUGACUUGUCACCAAGGAUGCUGGCAGAACGAGCAAAUACCACCCGUCUUGAAACAUGGACCAAGGAGACUAACGUCUAUGCGAGUGUUUGGGUGGAUAAAACUCAUUAACGCGGAAUGAAAGUGAACGUAGGUCGGAGCCCCCUUGGGGGGCGCACGAUCGACCGAUCCCGAUGUUUUACCGGAGGGAUUUGAGUAAGAGCAUAGCUGUUGGGACCCGAAAGAUGGUGAACUAUGCCUGAAUAGGGUGAAGCCAGAGAAACUCUGGUGGAGGCUC
rnacentral:rRNA from 1 species